CCAUUAUAUUUUCUUAUUUCUUUCAGUACAUCUCACAUUCUCACAUGAAACUAGGAAAAUUUAUCUCACGUGCAGUUUUUGUUCGUAUGUAGACGAGCUCUCCAAUGGUAGAAUUUGGCAGUGCAAAUAUCCUUGGUUCCAGCCGAUGCUGCUUCCCCUAAGUCUCAAGAGUUGGAGAGGUUGACAAGUUGUGGCAUCUCGAGCAUGUCUCAUAGGAGAGUGGAAUGAAGUCCAUUGUACUGUUGGUACAGUAGCAGAUGUGUCAUUGUUUUAUUGUGCAAUUCUUUCUGUUCUUGCUAUAUUCCUGUGUAAGGAAAUGUAUUCAAGAGAUGAGUUAUUGUGUUAUGUAAA